CGGCAAGACGGAAAGACCCCGUGAACCUUUACUAUAGCUUGACACUGAACAUUGAGCCUUGAUGUGUAGGAUAGGUGGGAGGCUUUGAAGCGUGGACGCCAGUCUGCGUGGAGCCAACCUUGAAAUACCACCCUUUAAUGUUUGAUGUUCUAACGUUGGCCCCUGACCGGGGUUGCGGACAGUGUCUGGUGGGUAGUUUGACUGGGGCGGUCUCCUCCCAAAGCGUAACGGAGGAGCACGAAGGUUAGCUAAUCCUGGUCGGACAUCAGGAGGUUAGUGCAAUGGCAUAAGCUAGCUUGACUGCGAGCGUGACGGCGCGAGCAGGUGCG
rnacentral:rRNA from 2 species